UAGGGAAUCUUCGGCAAUGGACGGAAGUCUGACCGAGCAACGCCGCGUGAGUGAAGAAGGUUUUCGGAUCGUAAAGCUCUGUUGUAAGAGAAGAACGAGUGUGAGAGUGGAAAGUUCACACUGUGACGGUAUCUUACCAGAAAGGGACGGCUAACUACGUGCCAGCAGCCGCGGUAAUACGUAGGUCCCGAGCGUUGUCCGGAUUUAUUGGGCGUAAAGCGAGCGCAGGCGGUUAGAUAAGUCUGAAGUUAAAGGCUGUGGCUUAACCAUAGUAGGCUUUGGAAACUGUUUAACUUGAGUGCAAGAGGGGAGAGUGGAAUUCCAUGUGUAGCGGUGAGAUGCGUAGAUAUAUGGAGGAACACCGGUGGCGAAAGCGGCUCUCUGGCUUGUAACUGACGCUGAGGCUCGAAAGCGUGGGGAGCAAACAGGAUUAGAUACCCUGGUAGUCCACGCUGUAAACGAUGAGUGCUAGGUGUUAGACCCUUUCCGGGGUUUAGUGCCGUAGCUAACGCAUUAAGCACUCCGCCUGGGGAGUACGACCGCAAGGUUG
rnacentral:rRNA from 1 species